UAAACUCGGUCCUCAUUCCACUCGUUGCGCCUUACGUUGCGGAUACCUCGUCCCUGAGGAAGGCGCACGCAGCUUCCUCUGGAUUUGCAAGACUCCGAAGGACGAGGACGACCAGUUGCCAAGUAAUUGGAUCAAUUCUAGGACGAGUAGUAUUUGCUUUUAUUGGAACCCCAUUUGCCCUCUGGCAUUUGUAAUUCUAAUGUACUUUUAAUAAUUCCACGAGGCUUCAAGGAUACAUUAUCAGCUGGUUAGUAUGGACAUUAUGGAACAAAGGACAAGUGACACGACUCUGUCGUAAUUUUAUUAUGGAAUUAUAAGGUUUCUUUUUUUUAGGUUAGGUCAUUACAAAAAAUGAUAACCUAUUAACUGGCUUGUAGGAAGGUAGAGCCAUUACGUGCGAUAGGCGAGUCCCGUAGUGGCCAAGAUGAAAAAGCACGAUUUCCAGAUGAAACGAGUUGGAAGAAGUUGGAUGCUGUGUUUCUCGACGCUGACGAGGGUGCCGGGCGUCGUAUAUUUUCGUUUAAGGUAUCGUCGGGCAGCCAUAUUGGAUCAGGACCGGUAAAGUCUUCUUCGUCAGUCACCCAACAAGAUAUCGAGUAAUUUCCUUGAUAAUUAGAUACGAUGAGCCAGGAACGUGCUUGGCCUGCUUGAUUCCUAGCGGUACCAACCCCGAGGACCUGAAGGAAAGUGGAUGAGGUAGCUUUACUGGUCAGACAUGGCUCUGGUCCAGGGCUGUUAAUCAUUAAAAAAGUCAACCUCCAUUAACGCAUGGAACGAAGGUACAUUGACGUCUACUUGAGGUAAACGUAUAGAACAGCGUGGAAAUCCAGUAGGCGAAUAAAAGUCAGUAGGGAAUGAGAUAGUAUCGCGAGAAGCACAGCUGCCGUUGAGUGCUCUUCGCCUGGAGUAGUCAAGCCGGGGGUGACCCUUCGCAUUUUGCCAGAAGAGAACCUAACCUAUACAGACG